rnacentral:rRNA from 1 species
CCUACGGGUGGCAGCAGUGAGGAAUAUUGGUCAAUGGGCGCGAGUCUGAACCAGCCAAGUAGCGUGCAGGAUGACUGCCCUACGGGUUGUAAACUUCUUUUAUAAAGGAAUAAAGUGAGUCACGUGUGCCUUUUUGUAUGUACUUUAUGAAUAAGGAUCGGCUAAUUCCGUGCCAGCAGCCGCGGUAAUACGGAGGAUCCGAGCGUUAUCCGGAUUUAUUGGGUUUAAAGGGAGCGUAGAUGGGUGGUUAAGAGAGUUGUGAAAGGUUGCGGCUCAACCGUAAAACUGCAAGUGAUACUGGCAGUCUUGAGUACAGUUGAGGUAGGCGGAAUUCGUGGUGUAGCGGUGAAAUGCUUAGAUAUCACGAAGAACUCCGAUUGCGAAGGCAGCUUACUAAACUGCCACUGACAUUGAUGCUCGAAAGUGUGGGUAUCAAACAGGAUUAGAUACCCCGGUAGUC